GUGCUUGCUUCAGCAGCAUAUAUACCAAAAUUGGAAUGAUAUAGUGAUUAGCAUGGUCCCCACACAAGGAUGACACUAAAUUAUUAAAAAUUCACAAAUUAAUA